rnacentral:lncRNA from 1 species
UACUACACCGAGGCCUCGCAGUACUACAACACCGAAGCGCUCAAGUACUACACUACAACCUACGCUGCCCCCAGCUACUACACCUACGUCCCGAAGUGUUACUGUGCGUAAAAAGAGACGUCUAAAAAAAGAAGUCUUGCCCGAACUGCAGAGCCUUAUCUGUCACCAACUGCUUUCCUCAUCGUGUAAACGAUUCGCAAUUAUGGUCAACUAUGGCGUCGUGCUCCUGUUGGGUGUUGUAUCGUUGAUGGCUGGGUCGACUGCUGGUGUAGCGAUGUCUACUUGGUGUGGCGCAAACCAAACUGCAACGCCGCCGCCUUCCUACAUAACUUACGCAACGACCAGUUUCUGCACCGAGGUCUUCAAGUACUACACCACUAAAGCACCAGAGUUUUAUACCACAACUAACGCUGCCCGAGCCACUACCCUGACGCCCUGAAGUACUCUGCCCCGAGUUACUAUACCACCAAGGCGACCGAUUACUACAUGACAACGCAUGCUGCCCCAUCCUACUACACCGAGGCUCCUAACUGCUACACCGAGGCUCCCGCUGAUUACUCCACCAAAGUGGUCGAGUACUACACCGAAGCGGCAAAGUACUUCUCUGCCCCGAUCAACUCAACCAGAACUGAGGCGGCGAAGUAUUACGCAGUCCCGACUUGCCACAAAAAAGCUGCUCUUUCGUGCUACGUUGAACUGAAACACUACACUGAUGCUUCAGUCUACUACACCACGACCUAUGCUACACCUAGCUACAACACCGCAGCCCCCAAGUAUUAAACCGAAGAAGCCGCCUAUUACACAACCACGUACGCUGCCUGGUAUACUACAGCGAGGAAUUUAAGUAUUACCCUGCUCCAAAAUACUACCAAACUGAGGUUCAUAUGUAUUUCACCAGCAAUUUCACCUGACCAUGUCACCACUACUUAUGUUGCUCCGACCUAUACACCAAAGUUCUGAAGUAUUUCUCUGGAUGUGUUGAAAGAUUGCUGAAAUACAAGUUUGAUUGAUAAAUCA